AGUACCUCAGUCCAGAGGUUGAAUGCAAAUAACUAGAGAACAUACAGACAGAUCAAUUCAUUUGGAUGGACGAUGAGCGGAAAGAAAGAACAAGAGGAAUCACUGACCAUUACCUACAUUGGAAGGUAAGGAUCACACAGUGGGUUUGGUGGUUUUUACAUGCACAUUUUUUUCCUGACUGCACAUAAUAAAAUCACUAGUUUGACACCUAAAGGUUACAUAGAAUAAAAUAUACUGUAUUCAGACAUACAGAGUAGAUGUAAGGAGAACGUUUACAGUUUUCUUCAGAGUGACUAUACAUUCAGAUCAUUCCUGUGCAUUUUAACUACGGCAAAUUAGACCUACAAAUUGUACAGCAUUGACAGAUAACUGCAUCAUGGCACAAUCGGAUCACACACAACAUGGUACAUGAGCCAAAUCCAAUCGAGUUAGCACUCCAAGCAGACAGCCUCGAGGGUUGUAGCAUUCCUGUGAGUUUAACAGACGGAGAUAAUGACAGUAAUUAGCUAGCAGAUAACAAGCUGGGUCUGAGAAAUAUGAUACACACUUUGAGGAUUCACAAAAAGAAGAAUGCAGAGCAAAGAAAGGCAACUGUGUCAUGGGAAAGUAAUGCCAAGGAAGGUGGGCUGGGAAAGGCAAAAGGCACAGUGAAUGUACAGGUGAGUGUAAAGUUAAAGAAGAAAAUACAAUGUGCAGUAGGCUGAUCUUCAUGGAGUUGUGUAUGAAAAAAGUAUUAACCAGAAAUCAUUGGUGUCAGACAGACAGACAGAUAGAUAGAUAUAUAGAAAGAUUAUUUCUGAGUUGCACGUUUCACUAUUUCUUAUAUUAUCACACUCUUCCUUUUAAACAGGAAACACACAGAUUAGAUAGAUAGAUAGAUAGAUAGAUAGAUAGAUAGAUAGAUAGAUAGAUAGAUAGAUAGACAGACAGACAGACAGACAGACAGACAGACUAUUUCUGAGUUGCACUGUUCAGUCUCUCUUACGUUCCCCAAAGUCACACUCUCUCUCUCUUAAACGGGAGCAAUUACUUGUGCAACACAUUAAUAAUUAAUCCCAGUGAGCUGUUAAUUAUUCAUGGAAAUUGCUGAUUUAAGUUUCCUUCCUUCAACACUGAAACACAAGGGGAGGGGCAAAACAACAAGAGCUAAGGUCAAAUGAUCAUGUGGUAAAUGUGGCAGAUAUUUUCCUUCGAUAGUUCUGACCUGGUUUGUUAAAUAGCAAAGAAAGCUCCACAGGGGAAUAAUGGAUGUUCUGGUCAGAUGAUCCUACACUGUAGGCUGAUCUCAGGCCAGUCAUGAAGAUGGACAGUCAAAUGACAGCAGAGAAUUCUGGACAAUAUCUGACCUGCUGCUCUCAGUAACAAGGAUUCAUCCUGUUGUAGAACAAAAUUCAACAGGAAAUCUCUGUUACUGGUGGUAAAGGAUCAGUAAUUAAUGACAAGCAUAAACUACAUGAAAUGCACCGAAUGAGGAAGCAACAACAAACAAAGCUUUAAAAUCAUGCAAAUACGAAGAACGUUAGCACCAAUAUAUGCAUGUUAAAAAUACUUUGGCUUUGUUUUAAUUAUCCUGUAACAUAGUCUUAAUUUUAUACAUCUGUUAAAUGAAAUGUUUUCGAAGUAGUUUGUCUCUAGAAAGAAAAAAAACAUUCUUUAUUGGAAAUGGAAAUGUUUCUCUAAUUCUCUUCUAUCUGUACAUGAUUAGAAAGUGAUCAUAAUAUCAGAAAUGCACAUUAUGAACCCCUCUUGCUCUUACUUACUCUUGCAAUUUACUGCUCUGUAAAGGAUCAUGAAUCUUAUUUUCUCUUUUUACUCUGCAUGUUACACCUACUGCUUCACUAUCAUGCUUGCGUUUAGUCUCACUCCACUGACUUGUGGACAGGGUCAGUCUAAGACUGGAGGGACUAUGGGGUGAGUGUUUUGUUUACCUGUCAUGGCCUGCCUGCCUCCGUUCUUCAUCAUCACUCCCUUGGGACCAACUGUUCUUGCCUUAUGCAUCAUUCCCGUGAUAACAGUCUCAGGCUGCCUGCUUGUAAUACCAGCACGAGUCUCAGGGGGCUUUCAAUUAGCCGGCCAAAUAGUGUUGCAUGCCAAGAAUGCUGUGGAUUGGAACGGAAUAAACAUAUUUCUUUCUGUAUUACAGUAAGUAGACUGCAAGAACUUUCUCCACAGAAUAAUAAGCAGAGCACAUAUACACGGAGAGCAGUGUGAUAAUCCAAUGAAGGACAUAUUUCUUUUUAAAGCUGAUUUGUUUCAUUCUUCUUCUUCCUGUGUUAGUAUAAAGAACAUUCUGAUUCAUUACUGAUAAUCCAGUAAAAACAAUUUUGUACAGUGAAUUUAAGGAAGUGAAAUAAAUGAAAAAAUAAAUCUUUGUGAUUUUCUGAA